AAUUCAGCAGCUCUCAGAUUGAUAAAUAUAAAUUUCAGUCAGCACCAGCUCCUGCUAAAUUUCCAUUUUUAUUGGUGAGUGGACAUUCUUGGCUAAAUUCACAGUUUCUUUUUGCCUCUUAAGUUUUCUAGAUAACUAAUACUCUGUCAGUUUCUUUGAUUCAGGGUCAGCUCUGAUUGGGAACUAUUGUGGAGAAGCCAUUGUUUUUGCUUUUUUGGCUGCCCAAAAUCUGAAGGUUCUCAUCACAUUCCUUGUAAUUUUACUGAGAAAUAUUGUAGAGAAGCUAUACUUUAAUUCAUUCCAUGAGGGUUCAUAUUUGCUUUUCUUGUUAUAUCUGAAUUGCAACAUAUUUGUGUCUUGUAAUUGACUUCAACCUUCACAGAAUGAAUAAUGUAGGAUUAGAUGAUUUAAGAGUGCG
rnacentral:lncRNA from 1 species